GGGAUGGUGGAGGAGACAGAGGCGGGGAGGCUCCUGGGUGCUUAGGAGCCCUCACUGAGGAGUACCAAGGCCCUCUGCCUUGCCAUACCCCGCAGCUUCUAGAAGGCAUGUUCCUUCCCUCUCCCAGCAGAUCAUCUCUGGAGAGCCUGCUCAGACCUGCCCUCCCCACAAAGCACGGUCUCCCCAAGCUGCGGCUGAGACAUUCAGACUGCAGCCUCCUCCUCUGCCUGAUAUUCAUUUUGCUAUAAUGCAGUCACCAGUUCUGGGGACUUUGAUGAGAACUCCCUUUGACCUGUCCCACCAGUCAGUGAUCGGUCAACUACGAUUGGAACCCUCUAAGGAAGGCAAGCUUGCUAUCCUAACAACUGGCUACAUCCACAUUCAAACAGGUUUGAUUGAAAUCCUUACUUGAGAGGAAAUGAACUAAUUCUACCCCACGGGAACCUCCUGGCCUUUAGAACAUCUACGUGUUAGUAAAUCAGUGCUCAGUUUCCACAUCCUUUGCCCCAAUCACAGUGAGUAAAACAAAAUCAGAAAGAUGAUGAGAUAGUUUCAUCUUUUUUAUGGUCUUUCGUAUAACUCAAGCUCUCCUCAGACUCUCAAUGUUCCUAUCCUGGUCUUGCAGGUGUUG